rnacentral:rRNA from 2 species
CCCGGAAGCUAAGCUGCGUAGCGCCGAUGGUACUGCAAGGGGGACCUUGUGGGAGAGUAGGACGCCGCCGAAC